rnacentral:rRNA from 1 species
AGCCUAGCGCUAAGGCUUAAUGUGGUUGUCGCAAGGCAAUCAAUUAAACAGCAUUAAGCGGUGCAGCGUUACAAACUCUGGUGUUUAGUAGUGUCAAUGUAGUGUAUGGUUGGGCAACUAACUAUAUGCUGCUUUUGGCCUAGCGUACAAGUCCCAUUGACUUGGGCCUAUUCUUGAGAUGUCUACGGGUUUGGGGCAACUUGGAUCCGUGGAUGAGCCAUAGAGGGUGAAAGUCCCUUAAUGCGCAGGUAUUGAUGCUACGAAUCAGAGCAGUGGCGUCUGGUAAAACAGGCGUUGCGGUUUGUUAGAGUCGGGUUGCUUGAGAGUGCAACCUAAAGAGCGAGGUAAACUGCUCGUAAGGCUAUGUAAAUACGGCUACGACACCGAUAGCAAACAAGUACCGUGAGGGAAAGUUGCAAAGUACUUUGAAGAGAGAGUUAAACAGGGCGUGAAACCGCUAGCUGGUAAACGAGUGGAGCCACGAAGUCGUUUCGUAGAAUACGAGGCGCAAAUUCAGCUAAGAUCUACCAAGGUUUUGGCGUAUUUUUGCUUGUCUCGCUACUGUAAGCGUACACUGCAACCAAUUAGACGGUCAAUCGUGGAAAUAGUUUGCAAGUUGGCAGGGAAACUUGUUGCUUGUAAGCGAAAAAAUUUGUGUAUCUGCCGUAGGUAGCCCGGUUAGAAUCUUGUAUUUUAUCUGGGUGUAUGACGUUGUAGAUACGUGAACUACGAUUGAGUACUGAUUGGCAAAAUGAAAAUCGAAUCGCAAGAUUCGUGCAUUCAUAGAAAGCGGCUAGCAUCGUAAUCGUGUACAAUUAUGCGCCGCUAGUAUAAGCUUGGUAUUUUUGAAUUCAGGCACGUAUAUUGUUAGUGGGCUUGCCUGUUGACAUAUGCGCUGUUUUCCUGUCUAAUCGGGUAUUAACUUUGCUGGCGGUUUGGUAUGAUUGCUACGUUAGCAUCGAAUGCGAUGGCAAGUUAGCAAGUAUUGGCAGUGAGUAGGUCGGCUUUCCACACGACCCGUCUUGAAACACGGACCAAGGAGUCUAGUUAAGUAUCGAGUCGAUCGGUCUUGAUUAGGCCAGACAUCGGGAGUGCCGCAAGGCAACGUCUCGGAAUAUAAUACAUGACGGCAAAGUGAAAUCAAAUAUAUGUGAUCUGAGGUCUAUAAAAACGGCCUACAGCGCAACAUAUGCCCACUCGUAUGGUUAUACGCGCAAGUGUUAACCGGGUGGAGCAAAGAGAUACUUGACUGGUACCCGAAAGAUGGUGAACUAUUCCUGGCCAGAUUGAAGCCAGAGGAAACUCUGGUGGAGGAUUGUAGCGAUUCUGACGUGCAAAUCGAUCGUCAGAGCUGGGUAUAGGGGCGAAAGACUAAUCGAACCAUCUAGUAGCUGGUUCCCUCCGAAGUUUCCCUCAGGAUAGCAAGCUCUCGCAGAAAUGUGAAUCAGUUUCAUCUGGUAAAGCGAAUGAUUAGAGGCCUUGGGAGCGAAACGCUCUCAACCUAUUCUCAAACUUUAAAUGGGUGAGAUGUACGACGUACUUAACUGACGCCGUAUUUACACAGAAUGUAUUGAGAGCUUAGUGGGCCAUUUUUGGUAAGCAGAACUGGCGAUGCGGGAUGAACCGAAAGUGAAGUUAAGGUUGCCGAUAAUGGUGCUAACAAAUAUGCACUAGCUACACUCAUGAGAUCCCAUGAAAGGUGUAAGUUGCUAAAGACAGCAAGGACGUGGCCAUGGAAGUCGGAAACAUCUAAGGAGUGUGUAACAACUCACUUGCCGAAGCAACUUGCCUGAAAAUGGAAGCAGCUCGAGUGUUGAACCUAUACUUCACCGUUGAAUCAUCGUUCGUGUAACAAGCGAUUAGUUAUGAUUCAACGUGUAGGAGGGUUGUGUUGGUAGCGUUGAAGGCUAUGAGGGAGUGAUCCUGGCUGGAGCUGCCAAUAGUACAGAUCUUGGUGGUAGUAGCAAAUACUCAAGUGAGACCCUUGAGGGCCAAUGUGGAGAAGGGUUCCAUGCUAACAGCAAUUGGACAUGGGUCAGUCGGUCCUAAGAGAAUGGCGAAAGCUAUUUCUGAAUCAAAGGCAGUGUAAGCAAAACACACAACAAAAACCAUUUGUGUUCGUGAACUUUUUUGUCAAGCUUGUAACCGAGUAAUAAAAGCACCAUAUCUUAUAAUAUUUAGCUAUAUUAUAGUAAAAGAGAGGUGCGAAAUAAGCUUAGAUAUUAGCAAUAAAAACGGCAUAUAAAACGCGCACGACUUUAAAUGAGUGUAAACGAUCACUGUAUGACUCGAAAGGGAAUUAGGUUAAUAUUCCUAAACCAAGAUGGGGAGAUUGCUAACUGUGCGGUUAUUUAUUUAACUGUGCAAUUAGCAUUGGCGGUAACGCAAACAAGCACGAUGACGCCGGCGGCAGCCCUGGGAAGAGUUGUCUUUUCUUUGUAAGCUUACUGGGUUUUUAACGAGACCUUGGAAUCGAAUCAUUCGAAGAUAAGGUCGUAGU